GUAGUCCACGCAGUAAACGAUGAAUACUAGCUGUUGGCGAUAUAUGGUCAGCGGUACAGCGAAAGUGUUAAGUAUUCCACCUGGGGAGUACGCCGGCAACGGUGAAACUCAAAGGAAUUGACGGGGGCCCGCACAAGCGGAGGAACAUGUGGUUUAAUUCGAUGAUACGCGAGGAACCUUACCCGGGCUUGAAAGUUAGUGACGGCGGAUGAAAGUCUGCUUCCCUUCGGGGCACGAAACUAGGUGCUGCAUGGUUGUCGUCAGCUCGUGCCGUGAGGUGUCGGCUUAAGUGCCAUAACGAGCGCAACCCUUGCCGUUAGUUGCCAGCGGGUGAUGCCGGGAACUCUAGC
rnacentral:rRNA from 1 species